rnacentral:lncRNA from 1 species
UUGAUAAUCUCUUCCAAAAGUACUUGGUGCUUGCUAGAUGUUGAGGGACUGAAUCAUGUUAAAUUUACAAAUAGUUGAUUUGGGGGCUAUAAGAAAUUUAUUUCUGUAUGCUGAUAGGCUGUACCAUUCCAGUAACUGAAGUAUUUAUUUCCAAUAAUCCAGGGGCACCUCUUUGGGUAUUGAGGUGCCUGGAGAGAGCAAAAUCAGGAUGGAGAGGUUGGGCAGUGAGCACAGAAUCAAAACAAAGCUAAUUACAAAAUCUCAGGGGAGAUGCUGACUAGACUAAUGCAAAUUUGGGAAAUCAUUCUUGUGUUUCCUGGUUGUCUUCCUGGGGACAGGAGCGACCUGCUGCUGAACGCAGGGCCUCUCUCUGAAGAUGCCACCUCACCUCCUCUCGCGGGGCCAUCAGAGAGAUUGUCACUUCCCCUCCAUUACUACAUCAUGGUCUGAGAUUGUUUUAGUCAGCUUUGUUGAUGCUGCGACUAAAAGACCCAACCAGAACAAUUGUAGAGGAGGAAAAGUUUAUUGAGGGCUCACAGUUUCAGAGGUCUUAGUCCAUAGAAGGCCAGCUCCAUUCCUCGGGGUCGAGGUGAGGCUGAACAUUAUGGCAGAAGAGUUGGUGGAGGGAAGCAGCUCACAUGGUGAUCAGAAAGCAAAGUGAGAUUCCAGUGGCUGGAAACAAAUAUAUACCCCAAGCCACGACCCAAUUCCCACUUCCUCUAGCCACACCCCACCACUUCAGUUACCACUCAGUUACUCCCUAUCAGGGGAUUAAGUCACAGAUUGGGAUAAGAGUCUCAUAACACAAUCAUUUCUCCUCUGAACCUUCUUGCAUUGUCUUAUAUGUGAGUUUUGGGGGACACCACAUCUAAACCAUACAGGGGUAGAAUCCCAAACAUCUUGAUCCUAGCAAUGUCUUAUCUACAAAUGAACCUUGAGGAUGCCCCACCCACGGGCCUUUGAGAGCACACUGAAUCCAGGCCACUAUAUGGUCCCUCAACCCAGCAUCUAAGUAGCUCUAAAAGGAGUAGAAAGUUAACACCUUAAAAUGAGAUUACAUUGGUUCCAUCAUGAAUUUAGGAUAAAGAUGCC